GCCUCGGUGGCUUAAAGACUUAGGACGCUUGCCCGAAAAACAAGAGAUCCGGGUUCGACUCCCGGCCAAAGUA
rnacentral:tRNA from 1 species